GAUGAACGCUGGCGGCGUGCCUAAUACAUGCAAGUCGAGCGAACAGACGAGGAGCUUGCUCCUUUGACGUUAGCGGCGGACGGGUGAGUAACACGUGGAUAACCUACCUAUAAGACUGGGAUAACUUCGGGAAGCCGGAGCUAAUACCGGAUAACAUGUUGAACCGCAUGGUUCAACAGUGAAAGACGGUCUUGCUGUCACUUAUAGAUGGAUCCGCGCCGCAUUAGCUAGUUGGUAAGGUAACGGCUUACCAAGGCAACGAUGCGUAGCCGACCUGAGAGGGUGAUCGGCCACACUGGAACUGAGACACGGUCCAGACUCCUACGGGAGGCAGCAGUAGGGAAUCUUCCGCAAUGGGCGAAAGCCUGACGGAGCAACGCCGCGUGAGUGAAGAAGGUCUUCGGAUCGUAAAACUCUGUUAUUAGGGAAGAACAAAUGUGUAAGUAACUAUGCACGUCUUGACGGUACCUAAUCAGAAAGCCACGGCUAACUACGUG
rnacentral:rRNA from 1 species